rnacentral:rRNA from 1 species
CCUACGGGUGGCAGCAGUGGGGAAUAUUGCACAAUGGGGGAAACCCUGAUGCAGCGACGCCGCGUGAGUGAAGAAGUAUCUCGGUACGUAAAGCUCUAUCAGCAGGGAAGAAAAUGACGGUACCUGACUAAGAAGCCCCGGCUAACUACGUGCCAGCAGCCGCGGUAAUACGGAGGGGGCAAGCGUUAUCCGGAUUUACUGGGUGUAAAGGGAGCGUAGACGGCAGGACAAGUCUGGAGUGAAAUCCCGGGGCUUAACCCCGGAAGUGCUUUUGAAACUGUGAGGCUGGAGUGCAGGAGGGGUAAGCGGAAUUCCUGGUGUAGCGGUGAAAUGCGUAGAUAUUAGGAGGAACACCGGUGGCGAAGGCGGCUUACUGGACUGUAACUGACAUUGAGGCUCGAAAGCGUGGGGAGCAAACAGGAUUAGAUACCCGAGUAGUC